rnacentral:rRNA from 1 species
UACGGAGGGUGCAAGCGUUGUUCGGAUUCACUGGGCGUAAAGCGUGCGCAGGCGGUGAUGUAAGACAGAUGUGAAAUCCCCGGGCUCAACCUGGGAACUGCAUUUGUGACUGCAUCGCUGGAGUGCGGCAGAGGGGGAUGGAAUUCCGCGUGUAGCAGUGAAAUGCGUAGAUAUGCGGAGGAACACCGAUGGCGAAGGCAAUCCCCUGGGCCUGCACUGACGCUCAUGCACGAAAGCGUGGGGAGCAAACAGG